CCGAGUUUCCAAAACUCCCAAACCCACUGUGAACCUUACCAUAACGUUGCUUCGGCGGGACAGCCCCGGGCCCCCGCGCCCGGAACCAGGCGCCCGCCGGAGGCCCCAACAAACUCUCGUGUCUACCCCAGCGGCAUCUACGUCUGAGUGGCCCCGAAAGGGCAAGCAAAUGAAUCA
rnacentral:misc_RNA from 1 species